UCUGCACAUUAUGGCUGUAACAAUCGGAGAAUCCAGAGUUUUUAUCAGAUAUAUCAGGAAGGAUUGUGUAUAACAAAAAUGCUCGUAGAAGUACACAAUAACAUAAUGUUAAAUUUCUUCCUUAUUUUUGAAGAUUUUUUAAUUAUGUUAUUGGAGUAUUUUAUUUUCACUUUUUACGUGUUUAUUUAUGAAUGUUGAGUGUUUUUGUUUUGCCGUUUUAAAAAAAAUAUAUGCUACAAUUGUUUAUCAAUAAUUGUUACAAAUUUUAUCAUUUCAAUUCAGAUGUGUUCUUUGUAAUCUUGGCGAAUAUCAGAUAGAGAAUAUCUUGCACGAGAACUACUACUAGAAGCGGCUACCGUCAACGUGACAUUGAUAUGUGAUGGAAGCCCUUGGCGAAUUGAAUUAGAACUUUCUGCUUAUAUAGAAUUAUAUAGUUUUGUAUAGAUCAAAAACCUGACAAAGAAUUUGUACUCGAUGGAAACAUACUGCAGCAUUGUUUGUCAUCUAGCUAUUCAACAAAAUUGUGGUUUCUAGAUUAGCCUGACUAGAUUUCUUAGACCAGUUGUAGGCCUUGUUGAAAUUAUUGUAGCAUUGACAGCUGAAGGUUCGGCCAACCAACUCUGACCAACGAAAUCGCUUUUUUAUGAUUGAGGCAGAGUUAUUUGUAUUGAGGAAUAGCCGAAUAGGUCGUACUGCAAGCAUCGCUUUCUCGGAAUCAUACUUCGUAAAUAAAAUGUUAUUUUUGACUAGGAUAUGUGGUAAGACCGUGGUUUCCAGUCAUUCAAAGCACAUUAUCCAUCUUUUGAUUUCCCAAAACCAAAACCUUGAUCGUAGUCCUAACGUCUGAUUAAAACUAAAUUAAAAAUUAACCUUUAGUUUAAUCCGCAUGGGAAACAAGCGAAAAUUGACCAAAUAUAUGACCAUGAUUAUUUUAUAUGGCUAAAUAAUCAGAAUUUUAAUCACAUAGUCAAUACGAUUAAAGUGUAUUUGUAUCUUGCGUCGUCUUUGGGGACGUUCAUAAUCAUGUUCAAGAACGUGCAACUUAAUAUUCAAGUUUAUCUGGAAAUCUGCUGAUCUAUUCCUUAAUGAUUAGUCGAAGAUUGGAACCCUUUGUCGUAGGAGAGAUUAAAUAGCAAGUAUAUGAUCAUUUUUACAAGUUUCAAAGACCGCUCAAUAUAUGAAAGUAAAAAAUGUAAUACAAAGCUGUAACUUCAAUACAUUUUAAGUCUCGUAACAUGCAUGCGCACAAUUAUUUCAUUUCAUAUGUCACUCAUUCGAAUACGUAUUAUUUGGGCCGAAGGUAGUUUUGUAUGGGAUCGGUUUUUCUGUGCCUUCAUGCCACCCAUGAGAGAUUGAUAAGUUUGCGCCCGUUGAUGGAUACAUCAUGCUGAAGAUACCAGGCUAAUACUUUAUAUGUAGGAUAUCGUUUAGCUUUUUCGUUGGUCGGAGUUUGGUUACACGUCAGAGUGAUUGAAGAUUGUUGCAGAUUUCAACUCGAUCAUACGUUUUGUAAAGAAUUCCUGAUACACCCUUUACUGUUUUGGACCCUCCAUGUACAAGAAUAGGAUUAUCAGGAUGGUCAAGACAACUUGAAGUCAGCGUGCGGAAUUUGUUUUUGUAAAUAAACUGGUAUUGUGUUUUAGGUAUGUUGAAAUAGAAAACGUCAUAUUUCAAUGCAAGUUCCCUGCGUGGAGUUUGGUGAUGGAGGUUUUCAAAAUUGUGGAUACAAUUUAUUGGUUAUUGUCUACCGAGGGGCGCUCGUGAGUGGUGACCAGAAACCCGCAUUAUCGCUUUGCUUUUUCUGGUAUCGUGAAAUUUUUUUACAGCCUUAGCUUGUAAAUUUAGGCUACUACUAAACAUACUCGCUGAUAACUGUAUGUUUCAACUUUGUUGUUUGUCUGGUAAUAUUUUUUUCCGUAU